GCGGCCGUCGUCUAGCCUGGACUAGGACGCCGGCCUUCCAAGCCGGUGGUCCCGGGUUCAAAUCCCGGCGGCCGCACCA
rnacentral:tRNA from 3 species